AGGAGCUCACCUCUGGAUUCCAAGACGUUCCCAUCAGUGAUCAUCACUGAAGGCAGACCAUGGAGUUGAAGUUCAGCUGGGUUUUCCUUGUUGCUCUUUUAAAAGGUGUCCAGUGUGAGGUGUAUCUGGUGGAGUCUGGGGGAAGCUUGGUACAGCCUGAAGGGUCCCUGAGACUCUCCUGUGCAGCCUCUGGAUUCACUUUCAGUGACUACUGGAUGUCCUGGAUCCGCCAGGCUCCAGGGGAGGGUCUGGAGUGGAUUGGAGAAGUUAAUCCAAAUGGAGGUAGCACAAACUAUGGAACAAACAUGAAGGGCAGAUUCACCAUAUCCAGAGACAAUUCCAGGAACACCCUGUAUCUGCAAAUGAGCAGUGUGAGACCUGAGGACACAGCCAUGUAUUACUGUACUAGACACUGUGAGGUGUGA